AUGGCCGCCGUCUCCGCCAAGUCCAUUGCUCUCCUCGCCGCGGUGGUGCUCGUGGCGCUCGUUGCGUCGGCGGCGGGGAGGAUUGUGGACCGGGAGGAGGAGUUCUUCCUGGGCAGCCUCGCCCCCUCGCUCGCCCCGGCGCCCGCGCCGGCGGCGGUGGUCGGCGCAGCAGGCGCCGUCGCGCCCGGGGCGUGGGCCGUGGCCGCCGUCGUCUCGCUCCUCGCCUUCCUCGCUCACUGA
rnacentral:rRNA from 1 species